CUCAGAAUGAUGUUACAGCUUCUCUGGCAUCAUGAAUUCCUUGACCAAGUGUUCUGUUGCCCAUGACACCACUAAGCACAUUAUUCACAUCAGCCAAGCUGAGAGGAAGGGAUUUUCCAUUAUCAUUAUCAUUAUCAUUUUCCCCCUAAGAUCAUCACCAGAUUUCUUGUUAGAAUCCCUGGAGGACCAGAAGGUAGCUUUGGGUUGGUAUAGUCCAGGUACGGAAGGCCAAGCUGGAAGAUGAGGUCAGGGGUCCAGCAGACUCGUUGUCUGCAAAGUGCUCCCUCUCUGCUGCUGCUGAGCCUUCUUCAGAGAGAGAUGCAUUGACCUUGAAGUUUGAACAUGAAGUUUGGAGGGACACAGUUACCACUAGGACUGCUCUGCACGAAAGAGAUCUUUGAGGCUGAACAACAGGACCCUGCACAGGACGCCAAAGCCAUAAAGACAUAAGAUCUCUGGGGAGGCUAAUUGUCUGGUAGG